GGGCGAGUGCUGGAACUGGUAGACAGGCAUGGUUGAGGGCCAUGUGGGAAUUUUCUCGUGAGGGUUCAAGUCCCUCCUCGCCCACCA
rnacentral:tRNA from 1 species